rnacentral:tRNA from 1 species
GUCCCAGUAGCUAACACUUUAAAGCAGUGGCCUUGUAAACCAAAGACGGGUUCAACCCCUGGGUCA